rnacentral:rRNA from 1 species
CAUGCAGUCGAACGGCAGCACGGAGCUUGCUCUGGUGGCGAGUGGCGAACGGGUGAGUAAUAUAUCGGAACGUACCCUAGAGUGGGGGAUAACGUAGCGAAAGUUACGCUAAUACCGCAUACGAUCUAAGGAUGAAAGUGGGGGAUCGCAAGACCUCAUGCUCGUGGAGCGGCCGAUAUCUGAUUAGCUAGUUGGUAGGGUAAAAGCCUACCAAGGCAUCGAUCAGUAGCUGGUCUGAGAGGACGACCAGCCACACUGGAACUGAGACACGGUCCAGACUCCUACGGGAGGCAGCAGUGGGGAAUUUUGGACAAUGGGCGAAAGCCUGAUCCAGCAAUGCCGCGUGAGUGAAGAAGGCCUUCGGGUUGUAAAGCUCUUUUGUCAGGGAAGAAACGGUGAAAGCUAAUAUCUUUUGCUAAUGACGGUACCUGAAGAAUAAGCACCGGCUAACUACGUGCCAGCAGCCGCGGUAAUACGUAGGGUGCAAGCGUUAAUCGGAAUUACUGGGCGUAAAGCGUGCGCAGGCGGUUUUGUAAGUCUGAUGUGAAAUCCCCGGGCUCAACCUGGGAAUUGCAUUGGAGACUGCAAGGCUAGAAUCUGGCAGAGGGGGGUAGAAUUCCACGUGUAGCAGUGAAAUGCGUAGAUAUGUGGAGGAACACCGAUGGCGAAGGCAGCCCCCUGGGUCAAGAUUGACGCUCAUGCACGAAAGCGUGGGGAGCAAACAGGAUUAGAUACCCUGGUAGUCCACGCCCUAAACGAUGUCUACUAGUUGUCGGGUCUUAAUUGACUUGGUAACGCAGCUAACGCGUGAAGUAGACCGCCUGG